rnacentral:sRNA from 1 species
UUAGUUGUUGCUGUGAGCUUCUUGUGACGUGUGUUUUUGCUUCGCUUGGAGGAUUGGAUUGGAUACGCCUAAUUUGGUCGCUUUUUCAUGAAAGUUUGCUUUCUACCAUGGUUUGUCUAUCUUCACCGACGACGACGUUCUUGUAGGCUCCACGACACCUGGAGUGCUGCUAUUAGGUUAACGUCCCAACGUGAGCUAAACUCUAAGAUGACUAGAUGAGUGGCCGACAUGUUGUCCAAUAAGUGAUAUUUACCUGAGAAAUUUUACGGUAUUUGAGAGGUAUUAAAAUUUAUGCUAAAUUAAUCAAAAGUACGGUACUUUUUAAGUAUUAUAAAAUCACUAUAUUUGCGUCCUUUGAAGCGAGGUAAUUAUGAAGGAAUUUGAUAAAUUUUAUUUGAAAUGCGGGAAUUUUGUAUGAAUUAUUUUUCUCAUAUAAGAUCACUCAGAGACAAGUGUAUAUACCUAGUUGUUGCUUGUUCCAAUCCAACCAGACGAGCACAUGGAUAAUUACUAGAGAGUAGAUGCAUGGAGUGAUGUGUGUAUAUCUACAAGGCAACAUGGACAGGUGCGAGAGGUAUCAAUCACACAAGCCCCAAUAAUUCAGGCUCCAUAACACUAAGACAAUGCAGCACAAACCGGUCCAAAUACUGUCCCUCACUGCACUUGUACUGCUGCUCCCUGUUCAGUCUAUUCUCCUUAACCUGUUCUAAUAAUUCUGCCCGUAAUUCCGAUCAAGGAGGAGAAAGAAGCGUUCUUGCACAUCUACACUGACUUUUUUUUAUCUUGCCCCCAAUUAGUGGUAGAUGCUGACCUGCUGGGCAGAGGAGAUGAUCAUGAUGUCUCGUACAGUAAUUAUUCUGAACCUUGCAAACUGUUUGUUACUAAUCUCGUCAGAUCUAGCCAUGUGUGAUACUAGCUAGUACAUUUAUGGUGCCUCAUGCAUGAUUGUUCAUGUACCUUGAUAACUGUUGUUGAUGUGAUUUUCCAACAGUUUUUGCACAUGAGUUUUAAGGCCUGAAAUCAAAACGAUUGGUUUCAGAGUACAGGUUACAGCAACUGCAUGUUUUCUACACUGAAAUUAAGCAUAGGGACACUCUGUUGGUACUCUAUAAGCUACACCUGGAAUCUGAAGGUAGUACAUGUUCUGACCUAGAAAACAUUCCUAGUUCAGAGCGCACCACACAGGCCGAGUUUAGAUCUAAAGUUUUUCUUUAAACUUUCAACUUUUCCAUCACAUCAAAACUUUUCUAUACACACAAACUUCCAAUUUUUUCCGUCACAUCGUUUCAAUUUCAACCAAACUUCCAAUUUUGGUAUGAACUAAACACACCCGGAUUC